rnacentral:lncRNA from 1 species
AACAACCUUUACAAAAACGAUAAACGAAUACAGAAUAACAUAAGAAAUGUAUAGAGUGCCGCUGGGAACAUACACAUCAACUCAAAUACUAUAACAACCUCCAAGACUGGGAAACCCACGGGCAAUAGAGGCUAAGAAUAACAACAUAACAUGGGGCUCUAACAUCUGGAAGUGUCUAUAACAACUGAAUACGUGAAAUGGAACUGCUAACUAAAAGGUAGAAUGGGACUCUUCUGAUUUGCGGACACGCAAGAUGGAUACCUCAAGUCUCCAAGUGCAGCUCUGAAGUCACUGACAGCGCGCUCGACCAGAAGUACCUGGAUCUGCACAACAAAAGUGUGCAGAAGAGUAGCAUGAGUAUAGCACAGCGGUACUCAGUAAGUGUCAAGCCUAACCUCAGUUGGGUAGUGACGAGGAAGGUCGAGGCCCUACUGAUAUAAACAUAAGAAUAAAUAUAAAAUAAGUAGACAAUAAGAAAUACAGUAAAUCUCGCAUAUCAAGCAAAACAAUAAGUAGAACGGAACAUGCUACAAAUACCAUCUACCAAUACAUGAACAAUCACUCAAUAUACGGAUGCCACAUGGAGCUACGGUAAUUGAACCCGCAAUCCAUUCUUACCAAUAUCUGAGGAUCUUCCGGGAAUUGAACCUGUAGUCCAUCAUGUCAAUAAUAGAGGAUCUUACGGGAAUUGAACCCGUAGUCUGUCAUACCCAUAACAGAGGAUCUCCCGGGAAUCGAACCUGUAGUCUAUCAUAUCAAUAUCAGAGGAUCUUCCGAUAAUUGAACACGUAGUCCAUCAUGCCAAUAACAGAGGAUCUCCCGAGAAUCGAACCCGUAGUCCAUCAUAUCAAUAUCAUAAGAUCUUUCGGGAAUUGAACCCGUAAAUCGUCAUACCAAUAACGGAGGAUCUCCCGGGAAUCAAACCCGUAGUCCAGCAUAUCAAUAAACACAUCACAACAAAUCAAUACUAACAGGAAGAAUCUAAGUACAAGCAACAUAUAAAAAUCUAGAGUAUAGCAUGCUCGCGGGAAGACAGAUAUUGCAAUUUAGUCAAGUAGAGAAAAUAAGUUACUAAAUUGCUUUCCCUAAACUAAAACAAGUGAAAUUGAAUUUUUAACAGUCAAGUACGUGAAGAAACACAGUCUAAAUAAGUCAUGUAAGGUAAAUUUUCAACAACUAGGACAAGUACGUGCCCGUCACCUCGCGCACAAGGCAUUUUAAACAACAUUAAUGAUAUCCUAAGGGGAUAUGUCCCCCACACAAAGUUAGACAAGCCACAUACCUCGAACCGGUAUAAAACCGCUAAGAAACAAUUCCCUUGCCACGAGUAUCCGGCUCCAAGUGGUCCAAAUCUAUUCAAACUAAUUACAUAUCGUAAAUAACAUCACAAGUAACUAAUUUCACUGUUAAAAUUAAAGCUAAGGCGUGAAAUUAGGUAAAAUAAACUAAAUUCCCCUCUGGCCAACAUCUCAGAAUCAAAUAGUUUUAACAUUUUCAAAAAUCUCGUACUCUCACAAGUCUAACCAUAUAAAAAUAUCCCAAAUCGGAGGUCAAAUGCCCCUGCAAAUCCUUACAAUUAGGUCUAAGAACUUUACCCCAAUGUUUAUUCAAAAUCCAAAAUUAAAGGUUGAAAUCAUGAUUAGAUUAGUAUGUUUUAGUCAUAAAGAAGUAAGGAAUCAUUACCCAAUAGUUGCCUCUGAAAAUCCCUCGAAAAAUCUCCCAAAAUCGAGCUCUCUAGCUUGAGUUUGAUAAAAAUGGAAGAACCCUCGUUUUUUGAAAAAUUUAUAACUGUUCUGAUACUUUGUUCAAUGUGAUCGCAGGAAUACGUCUGCGAUCGCGGAGAGUAAAAUUGAAGGGCCUUGGAUAAUGGUCUAUGCAAACGCGGGGAUGGGCCUGCGAUCGCGGAAAAGGAAGGAAGCGGAUCUAUAUGAUCGCAUUAAAGGCCUUGCGAUCGCGUAGAAGGAGUUGGGCUCUGAGACACCGGCUCAGCUAACUCAGUGCGAUCGUGGGAAGGAGUUUGCGAUAACGAAGAAGCGGAAACAGCAUCUAUGCGAUCGCAGCAGGAGAUGUGCGAUCGCAUUGAAGGAAAAGGGCUACCUCUGAAAUUCCACUACCCGAUCACAUGGAUGAGGUGCAAUCGCAGAGAAAAAAAGUUUGCAACAUCUACAGCAGAAAAUCUGCAACUGUCUAGACUUGUACCAAUCCUUAAGCCACCUAAAACAACGCCGGAAGCACAAAUUAAUCAAUGAUUUGAACUUAAAAACUUCAAAACUCAACCAAACUCGCUUUCGAUUCAAAACCUAACCAAAAAACGUCCGAUUGACAUGAAAUUUUGCACGCACAUCCCAAAUGACAUGACGGUACUGUAGCAACUUCCGGAUCUCGUUCUGGCCCUCGGAUCAAAAAUUUACUAUCGGACCGAAAACUUCAAAAUUCUAACUUCCGGCAUUUCUACCCUAAAUGAGCUACGGACACCCAAAAUAUAUUCCGAAUACGCUCCCAACCGUGAAAUCACCUAACGGAGCAAACGGAACCAUCGGAAUUCCAAUUCGAGAUCGCCUUCACACUGUUCUGAUUACGAACCAUUUUCCAACACUUAAACUCUCAUUUAGGGACUAAGUGUCUGAAACACACCAAAUUCUAUUGCCGAACAUCCUAGAAAACCAAAAUAGCAGAAAUGAACUUAGGUAAAGCAGUUAUUCGGGAAACGGGAUAUAAAUUCCAAAGACGACCGGGCGGGUCGUCACACACAGUGAAAAACAUAAAUCAAUACUAAAAUCAGAAGGAAA